rnacentral:lncRNA from 1 species
UUAAAACCUCGACUCGAUUGUAUUGCGCGGUUAGCAGGUACGGGGAAUGCACCCCACGAUCAUGUAACACGCACAGAUGCAACACACACACUAUACAUAUAGAAUACUCUUGCUGAACAUUCAGCCGCCACGUGUCAGGACGGGAACAAGAAGAGAAGCAAAGUAGAUGAUCUUGUCUUGCACAGAAAAAUAGAUGUGUAUAUGAUCUAUUUAUUGUAUCAUAUGUGUAUAUAUAUGUGAUAUGAUAAACAAUUAAAACACACACAUAUAUAUGUAUAUUAUUUAUAUUGGUAUGGGUGUGCACUCGGUGCUUCAUCAUAUCACUCGAUGGUGUAUGGGUGAUGGGCGACAUGCCAGUCCUCUUUCAAAGGACUCAUCGAAGUGGAGCAUUUAUAUUUUAUCCUCGGGUCCCGAUGAUCAUACCACAUCCAUCUGCAUCAUGACAUCAUGCGUCACGUGACUACUGGCUGACACAGCAUGCAGGGAUAUGUUCACUUCAGUUCAUUAGGUAAAGCGCAAUCCUACCUGGGUAUCCACUUCGAUGUUCCCUUCUGAGUGCACGAAUUAUCUUCAUAUCAUAGUGUCAUAGUGUGGAUGUGUUACUCACUUCACAAAUCUGAUGGACAUACAUACCCACGCACGAAGUAGUGUUCAUUCUGGCGGCCAGUUGAAAUUUCGCAACGCCAUACAAAAACAUACAUACACAUACAUUAACACCCGAGCGGAUGCAGGCGAUUGAGAACUGAAUACUGUAGCAACUGCCGUACAGUAUAACACAUGUACAUCAGCAAAGUGCAUGCAUGCACUUUUUUCACAAGCUCCUGUCCGAAACCAUGCCACUGUUGGAUGCAGGAGUCGUCUGUUCGACUCCUGCAAAGUACAACACGGGUGCAGGGUAAAUGGAGAUCAGGAUGUAACUUCCCUCAGCAUCAACCAUGGAUCAUCACAUCGUAAUAGAGUAUAUGCAUGUAGCUGUCGCUGACUGGCAACCCUAAGUUAACAGAGUCUGAUGAAUUCGAACCUGAUGAUGAUAUGGGUGCUGAACCAUAAAUCAUCAGGUGGUGUGGAUGCUAGACCUUGAAAAGUCACUGGUGUGGAUGCUAGACCUUGGAAAGUCACUGGAAGUCAGCAAGAACGUUGGCAUGGCUGACAAGGAUGAGGAUGCCUCAAAACAUUGGCGAAGGUACAGGGACUGCCAGGCGAGUAGUCAAAGAUGACGCUUUGACUUCCCUCUUCAGCUGUUUGAUACGAUUAUAAAUGUACAUUCCCCUAGGCCUGGCGAGCUCAUACUGUUGCAUGGAUGGGUUGGGGAAUAUCAGAGAAUGCGUUUUAGCAGCAUGCAGUUGCUCACAGCCGAGUUUUACUACUGCUUCUGCUACAUUGUGCCCGUUGCAAAUAUGCAACACAGUUUGGUCCGACACAUCGGCAGAGCAGAAGAGUCAAGCCAAACUUAGUUACCUACUUUUCUUUCCGUUCAAUGGACCGCACACUUGCACAAUCUGCGAAUUGCUAGGAACGAACUAGCGACCUCUAGAUCUUCAGUCUAGCGCUCUCCCAACUGAGCUAAAUCCGCACGGUCUUCGAUCGAGCAGCUCAUACAUGUACUGUAAGAUAUGAGACCAUCACAUUGCGUGAUGUGAGAGGUAACGGGCCCUGAUUUGUAGCAUCGCAUCAGCUCCUGCAAGCCGCUUGCUUGCUUGGCUACUAUAUGUACACAUGUCAACUACCCUUCCUUGGCGACGAUGCAAGAUAGAGCAGCGUGCGACUGACUUACCGGAGGAUGGAGAUAUUAUUGAUCCUGGGGGAGAGGGGGGACGAAUGCCUGGAUUUCCAGAAACAGGGAUGGAAGGUGUGGGCCUGCCUGUAGCAGUUUCGUGCAUGGCAAGGCGAGAUGAUAGCAUUAGCUGGAAGGCAAACAGCAGGUGACAAGGUAUGAUCCAGUUAGGCUGGAUGGAUUGGUGCUGCUGGAAGGAUUGGCUCUGCUCCAGACAUGCACAGCAAAUGUGCUAAGGCUGCAGCAUCGUGUCCCUGCUGGAAGGUUCAAGGAUGGAUCCUGACAAAGAGCAGGAGAAUAUAAUUCCUAUACCAAUUAAUUCCAGCGCUGAUGCACCCCCAAAUGAUGAUGCACAGUGAUGGAUUCGAAUACAGUGACCAAUGUUCCAUUAUGAUAGAGUAUGCAUGUAUACAUAUACUGCGUAGCUGCUGCUGACCGAGAAAUCUCUAUGCCUGGACAACCUGAAAAGAAGGCUGGACACAUGUGAAGAGGCACUGCUGAUAUGACAUGGACUGGCAACUCUACUGCCCAAAGGGUAGGACUAGGUAGGGACAAUUGCAAGCUGGUGUGGUGGGGACACACCGGUGAGGGCCUAAGACAGACACCUUCAGAGCGAGGGCAAGGAGUGUAAAAGCUGUUGUACAGUACAGCACCCACACCAUACAUACAUACAUAUACAUGCUGGAGUGCAUGUCUUCCCAGCAUCUCGAGAGGCCUUUUUGGUGGCCAGCUAAUACAUACACAUACACUGGGGGGAUGGCUGCAGUCUGCUUCAGAUCAGGCCUAUAUACUGCCAGCCAUCAUGAGCCAUACCUCCUGUAUGUCUGACCAGUACAGCGAGUACUUCCAGUGUAAACCCCUGUCCCACUCAGCCUGGCUUUGCGCAUGUGAUGAGCCACGAGCAAUUCAAUACGGUUGCGAGGAAUUUAAAUGUAGGACUAGAACUAUCUAGAACAGAAGCCGCUAGUGUUCUUGAUGUGAAUGUAAAUGUAUCUGCCCUGUUACCACAUAGCUGGUCUUGNGCUUUCUUCUCUGCCUAUCUCAGCAGACUGCUAAUGGUACUGCGGAGACAGGAUGAGUCACUGGGAUCUAUGCAGUGUGGCCCCGGGCACCGAUGCUUCCUAGCAGGGCUAGGUAAUGCGCUGGUGUGAAGUUGGUUGGAGGUUGNNNNNNNNNNNNNNNNNNNNNNNNNNNNNNNNNNNNNNNNNNNNNNNNNNCUCCAAAGCACUGCACAGGCACGCGCCAGAUCGGGCCUUGAGGAGACCAUUUUUCCGUGUGCACGUGCCGACAUGGAUUUGUCCAGACGUUUGUCUGAAUUCGCUCAAUUGUAUAAAAUAACUACGACUAGGUCUCUGGCCAAAGCUACUACGUUGUCAAAAAAGGUUCUUGUUGGAGUAGGUUAGGUCCCCCUUCGGUAAUGUCGUUUUACUAGUAGCUCUUUCCCCGAAGGGGGGAUGCCGUAGUUCCUAAUGUAGUAGGCAUAUGGACAGAGCCUAGUUGUAGUUUAACUACAUUACUAGUUACCCUUCGGGAUUAGCGGAGCCAACAUUAACGAGGGCUUUGCCCCACCGAACUACGUUGUGUCAACCUGCGGCCGAAAGGACAAACUCAGCAGCUUCAGUCGCUAUUUUAGUCCACAAGACUGGUGUCUUUGUUGUGAACUAAGCCGUGGCGUUGGGCGGAAAGCAGAUGUACACAACAGAGGACGGAGAGGGGCUUUAGCUCAGUGGUAGAGCGCGCGCUUUGCAUGCGUGAGGCCACCAGUUCAAACCCGGUAAGCUCCAAGAAACAAAUGCAGAUCGAAGACAUUAUAACAUGUUACUAUACUAUGAGGGUUGUUUAAAUAAAAGGAGUUAAAUGAGCCUGUGGUCGUAUGAUUCCAUCUCUUAAAACCUCGACUCGAUUGUAUUGCGCGGUUAGCAGGUACGGGGAAUGCACCCCACGAUCAUGUAACACGCACAGAUGCAACACACACACUAUACAUAUAGAAUACUCUUGCUGAACAUUCAGCCGCCACGUGUGCCUUAGGGCUGAGGGGCGGCGUAGCCACUCCUGUAUGCCCGCACCACCGUGGCCUAAUCCCUAAUCCUCGCCCUGGGCCCCACAUCCCAUCCUGACGUCGUCAACCCUAUUCCCCAUCCCGCCUGACCAGUACCUGCCCCCAAUCCCCCAUCUCUGCAACCCUCUGGAAUACUCUUGCUGAACAUUCAGCCGCCACGUGUCAGGACGGGAACAAGAAGAGAAGCAAAGUAGAUGAUCUUGUCUUGCACAGAAAAAUAGAUGUGUAUAUGAUCUAUUUAUUGUAUUAUAUAUGUAUAUAUGUGAUAUGAUAAACAGUUAAAACACACACACACACACAUAUAUAUAUGUAUAUUAUUUAUAUUGGUAUGGGUGUGCACUCGGUGCUUCAUCAUAUCACUCGAUGGUGUAUGGGUGAUAGGCGACAUGCCAGUCCUCUUUCAAAGGACUCAUCGAAGUGGAGCAUUUAUAUUUUAUCCUCGGGUCCCGAUGAUCAUACCACAUCCAUCUGCAUCAUGACAUCAUGCGCCGUGACUACUGGCUGACACAGCAUGCAGGGAUAUGUUCACUUCAGUUCAUUAGGUAAAGCGCAAUCCUACCUGGGUAUCCACUUCGAUGUUCCCUUCUGAGUGCACGAAUUAUCUUCAUAUCAUAGUGUCAUAGUGUGGAUGUGUUACUUCACUUCACAAAUCUGAUGGACAUACAUACCCACGCACGAAGUAGUGUCCAUUCUGGCGGCCAGUUGACAUUUCGCAACGCCAUACACACACAUACAUACACACCGAGCGGAUGCAGGCGAUUGAGAAGAUUGAAUACUGUAGCAACUGCCGUACAGUAUAACAUAUGUACAUCAGCGAAGUGCAUGCAUGCACUUUU